GACGAACGCUGGCGGCGUGCCUAAUACAUGCAAGUAGGACGCACAGUCUAUACCGUAGCUUGCUACACCAUAGGCUGUGAGUUGCGAACGGGUGAGUAACGCGUAGGUAACCUGCCUAUUAGAGGGGGAUAACUAUUGGAAACGAUAGCUAAUACCGCAUAACAGUAUGUAACACAUGUUAGAUGCUUGAAAGAUGCAAUUGCAUCGCUAGUAGAUGGACCUGCGUUGUAUUAGCUAGUAGGUAGGGUAAUGGCCUACCUAGGCGACGAUACAUAGCCGACCUGAGAGGGUGAUCGGCCACACUGGGACUGAGACACGGCCCAGACUCCUACGGGAGGCAGCAGGAGGGAAUCUUCGGCAAUGGGGGGAACCCUGACCGAGCAACGCCGCGUGAGUGAAGAAGGGUGUCGGAUCGUAAAGCUCUGUUGUUAAGGAAGAACGAGUGUGAGAAUGGAAAGUUCAUACUGUGACGGUACUUAACCAGAAAGGGACGGCUAACUACGUG
rnacentral:rRNA from 1 species